GAGUUAAUGAGUAACCUCGGUUAUUAAUAAAUGCUGGGAUUUUUGGGAGAACUUUAAACCCCCAACAGCCAUCAAAACAUUAACUCUGAAGCACAGCUUUAGGCCACGAGGUGCCUGGGAACGCCAACAGGCGCGUACUGCUGCGGCGUUGCGAAAGGGAAACCCGAUCACGUCACAGACAGGCAGCACCCGAGUGAAGUGAAUUAACGUGACAGGAAAACGGGGAAGGGAAGGGGAGCUGGAACGCCGACCACGUGGACCCUGUGGCUGCAGCUCCGGGUGCUGCCUCCCCAGAGGUCUUGCUGGGACCCAGCUGGACUGGCGGUGCUGGGAGCUGGGGGUAGCCCGCGCCCUCCCUGCAGGUGCUGCUGCCGGGAUGGCUCCGGGCUGGGACUCGCCUGUAAUUAGUGGGGCUCUCACCCUUGCUGACAGUUAGCCUAACUGCUGCUUACGCUGGGGCAGGGAAUGGAAACAACCUGCAAACAUCUACGGAGUGCAGCUCCUGCACGCCCCGAGCACCGCAGCGUGGUGGGGGGCUCUGCGGUCGCAUUUUAGCCAGGAUCCCAGCAAAAAGCACAGCCCUGCCCGCAGAUAUGGGCGGUAGCGGGAUGGAGACUGUGAAACUUUCAUCCUGGGAGCAUGGUGCUGGAGAGAGCCCGGCCAGCUCUCCGCAGGAGCCCCAUCACCUGAGCCCCAGACAUUUAAAGCAGAUUCCCUGGCACCUCUUGAAAGCAGAAACCAGAGGGGACGAAGGAGCCACGCAAUACCAGAAAGAGCAGUUUUAUUCCACCUGCUGAUGGGCAAAAAGAAAGGCUUGUAUGUUACGAGCAAAGGACACAAUAUCUCUGCAAGAUACGCAAGGCACACGUGCUGGCUGAUAUUUACAAUCCUUGACUGAACAAACUGGCAGGGUAUACAGAGAGACAAAGAAAGUCAAGGAAAAGGGGAAGGGGAAGAGGAACUCUUCUAAGAAGAGAAGCCAAUAAAGUUGUGUGGAAUGAGAAAGCCUGGGCCUCUGCACAAAGCUGUUCCACAAAAUGUCGCUGCACCGCAGAGGCUUCAAAGGGGCUGUGCAGCUGCUGUGGUGCUGUGCAGUAGUGGGAAAGGAUGGUUCAGCUCCCUGGCACCGCUACCGGGGUGUUCCUGCACCCCAGAGAUGGGGGCCAUGUGAAUACUAAGGUGGGAAAGCAAAAGGUGCAAGUGUUGGGGGAGUCGAAUGGCAAAAUUUGGGCUGAGAAAGUGCCCAGCAUUGGUCUCUGGCACAUCUGCUUCAGAGCAGAGCAGGGGAGGGGGCAGCAGAGCAGCACCCAUGAGCUCGGGGGCAGUGACCCUCACUGUGCCUCACCUGGGUGGGGAGCAUCACAAAACAUAAUCCUCACAACAUGAAGGGAUGUGUGCUCUGGAGUGCAUUUAUUAUCCCAGUGAACACAAGCAGCUAAACAAGUCUGCAAGCGCUCAUGCACACUCCCUGAUAUUUGUUCCAGGUGGAAAAUUUUGCUCUUUAUCCUCGGCCUCCCGUUAAUAAACACAGACUGUCCCCUU